ensembl:lncRNA
AACAAAGAGUCCUCUUCUUGUGCAAAUUUGCAGUCAUAUUUCCCUACUGCAUACUUUGUGGUUUUCUCUUAACUUCUUUCCAUUUUGACAUGGUGGGGGAAGCAGGUGCAAUUCAAGCUGUCAGGUUUGAAAUACACAGAGAGGAAAUAGCUGUCUUGUCCCUAUCUGACACCACAGUGCACAUGUAUGUGUGUGCAGACCUCAGGCUUUAAGCUUAUCUUGGAGCUAACGAAUGGAAACACCCUCUGCAAAGAGGCCUUUCAUUUUAGCUUUUAUCUAAUUUUCUGUGUAAAUGUAGCCUACGGGUAUGUAUUGCUGUGUUUAUCAUAUAAAGUCUCCUCCCAUAUUUCUCUCAACACACACCCCACUGGAGAGACAAAUUUGACAAACUUGAACAAAGAACAAAAUAUUGCAUGUUAACAUCAGACGGAGACUGACAUUUCCUUCUUUGUGAAGCAGAAAAGAAAAACAUGUGUCUAUAGGUGGGCUGAGUACCUUCAUGAGAGAAGCAGACAGGGUGGAAAAGACUGCGGUCAGCACCAUGGACAGCAAAAGGAGAAUCAUCCAGGUGAUCAGCGCCAUGCAAGCGGAUAUCAGAAAGCUGGAGCUGGAAAACAUGGGCCUGAAGAGGAAAGCUGGAAGUAAUCUCAGAAAGAAUGCAUCAGUUCCCAUCAUGGCAGCAGAAUGCAGAGAAAGCGUCGUCAUGACAGUGAGACGAUAUUCAGUCUUCCAGCUGCGGGUCAAUCAUCGAUAUUUGACCAUGGGCAUUUCAAAGAGUGAGGGAGGGACCGGAAAGAAGCAACGCUGACCCUGAGCAUAGUCAAACCAGAGGCGGAGCCAGACAUUUUAUACACCCAGGGCUUAGCCCUAAAGGGUAGUAUGCAUGUCGGAUUGGAGGGGGGGUGGGGGGUGGAGUUGCUGUGGAUUUGCUAAACCCCAAAUCAACCAGACCCACAACUGACCCGGAAUUAAAACAGGACUACAACAGUUCAAAAUCAGGACUACUUUAGGACUUAACCAAGAUAGAACCAGAAUCAAAACUAGAUGAUAGUAGCACUGAAAAUCAUCAUAGACCUGCACUACACUGACAACACCUCUUUAUUGUGGUAACAUGAGACUGUAUCUUCGAGACUUGAGUUUUGCGAACCUAUCAAUGACAUUUCCAGGGUCAAUAUUAUUCAAGUAUUCCAAAAAGAUACACUAGGUACUAGAUACAUGUUCUAAUGAGUUUUGGCAAACAACCAUUUGAUUAACAUGUCUGUCUCACCUGGCUCUUGUUCCAUUUCUCUUCUGUCCUUAUUAUCCUCUCUAUCUCCCUCUCUGUUCCUCUCGCUCCCUCUUUGUGCUGAGAAUCAAGCCAAACACCACCAUCAUCAAAUAUACAGUUGAAACCAGAUAUUUACAUACUCUUCAGAUAAAAAUACAAUCACUUUUUAAAUUGUAAAACAUCAAAUCAGACUAAAUGUUUUUUUUGUUUUGUUUUAGAUAAACACUGAAAAUACAUGUUUGUUAAAUUUAAGAGUAAAGAGAGAAAUUGUCUGUAUUUCUUAAUUGCAAAUGGAACCCAAAUUGUAUUCAAAAUUGAGCCACACUUAUGGAGGUCCACAAUUCUUUUCCUGGUGUCUUGGUUGACAUCUUUUGAUUCUCCCAUGUUUUGGGGGUGCCUUAUAUGCAUUCACAGGUCUGCCAUCAAUUUACUCAAAUGGACUCUACUAACCUAUCAGAAGCUUCUUAAGCUCAGAAUUGAAUUGUCUGGAGUUUUCUUAUUAAUUAAAAAAACAAACUUAGUGUAUAUAUACUCCUAAAUUUGAUGAAAGUGAAAAAAAAUAGACAGCUCUCUCUUUAUUCUGACAUUUAACUAAUUCAAAAGAUAUUUCAAUAUUUAUUUAUCUAAAACAAUAAAGUUUACUCUACAUUGAUGUUCAACAGUAAAAAAAAAUGUUUUCAUGUUUUUUUCCCCCUAAAGUGUAUGUAAAUAUCUGGUUUCAACUGUGAAUAUACAGCUGUGGAUUGAAAUUCCUCUUGUUUUGCAUAGAAAUAUAUGGAACAACAUACAAAGCAUAAUAUACAAAAUAACAUUUACCUGAGUUUUUUCUUUGAAAGAAGCCCCUUAUGUCCAUUGUUGUGUAAAUCAGUACAUUACUGAAACCGAUUUAGAGUGCUUUAUUUAGCCGUGGAGGGUGACAACUGAAAAUAUGAAAUAAACACAUGUAAGUUAAGACUCUAAAAAACAGCAUUGUUGUUCGGCUUUUCAUUUCGCCAUUUGUUGAUUCACUCGAAGAGCAAGUAACGUAAUAUGGGUCAAGUGAUCAGUUUGAUAUCAAUCUUUUGUGAUACAGCGUCAUAUUUACAUUAUUUGUACAGUACGACUGAUUUGCUUUGGUACCUGGUCAAACUUUAGCUCUCCUCUGUCUGCCUGUCUGCACUUCUCCUACAGCAAAUUCGCACGCAGCACCUUCUCCCCC